GGACGUACUAUGGGUGGUAUCAAACAUGUGGCAUUUUCCACUAGACAAAGAGUUUCUGUCUAAACUGGUUCUAGCUGGUAUCAACUGGCGCAUUUCUAUGCCCAAUGUAUUACUACAAAGUUUCCAGUAUGCAGUUCAGCAAGGUUAGCCUACGUGCAGAGACGCAAGAUAUCACUCAAGGACGCAUCUGGCUAUGGAACAGAGUCCCACUGAGGAGAUGAGGAAAUUAUGCAGUCAUGACUGAGGGUCUGUCAUGUUGUGCAUGGUUUUCAACCCAUCUUGUUUCCUUUCCUCCCACAGCUCCCAGAUCAACAGUGCCUUCUGCAUUGGCGUUGGUGAGACACAGCAAGAAGACCUGGAAGCAAGCCCAGCAGAUGCUGUUAUGCCAGGGGUGGUUCUACAAGCCUGCAACAGACCGGGGACGGAAGUGCAGUAUCUAGUGGACUGGGAGAGGUAUUUUCCUGAGGAAUGGUCUUGGAUUCAAUCUAAAUUCGUCGUUGAUCCCGCAAUCAUUAGUGACUUACAAUCUACGCAUCCUGAGGCUCUGAGGCUGUCUGAUGCCGGCUUUUGGGGGUACUGUCAUUGGCGUAGUCAUUUCCUCUCCCUCACACGCACGUGCUCCUGGGAGCAGCCUCCCCACCUGUUCCUCGUCUGUGUUAAUUAUGUCGUGCAUAUAUACCUUGUGCAUUAUGUUGUUCAUUACUAGUUUGUUGUACCUUGUUGUCACGUUUCCGCAGUUCUUGUUCUACUUUUUGACUCAUAGUAAUCUGACCUUCCCUUGAUUUUGACCUUGUUUUAUGCCUCGUGUGUGGAUACUGUUGCCUUUUGGACUGCCUGCCUGUGUAUCAACCUCAUCCUCAAUUAAGCUUUCCACUAUAACUACUGCUUGCCUUGGAGUCAUUGCAUUUGGUUCCUCCUCCUGUUCUGCCCUUGACAAUGACACUACAGUAUUUCAGCAUUUAGGUGUAAAUAUGACAUCAAUAUAACCACUGACACAUGCAAGAAAAGAUAAUAGUACAAGAAUGGUAAUAAAAAUCCUUUGUGUAGAAAUAGUGAACACUACUGUUGUAGAGAAACAUUGUUGUAUAUGCUUAUAUUCUACUUUAUCUAUGUGAGUUUGGUAGCAGCACAAUGUUUCGAUUGGAGGAUGCUCAAUGUGGAGGUCAAAGAAACAGGAGCCAACAGUUGCUUUCACAUAGCGUCAGCUGAUUCAGUAACGUACUGGAAAUGUCUCAAGCUUCAUCUUAAGAUGUCUGAUGGUGGAACAACAGAUGCUUGAACCCUUGACAAAAUGGCUCCAACACAUUAGGAACUUGCACACCUUUUUGUGCACACACAGACAACAUAAACAGAAAAACACACACACAUCUAGCCUACGUGCUCUGAGGCACAUGCUGAGAAAGUUCUGCCUUUAUGGCUUGCGUCUUCAUUGUAUUGUCUCUGGUAUAACUGACACACAAACACACGCACACAUGCGUGGAGACACGCACAAAAGACCUGGGUACUUGGGUAUCAGCGUCAGUCUUAAUGAAUCUGUCUACAGGGGGCAGGACAGGAGCUAUAUCUGACACAAAGAGCUCCCGCUAGCCCACUGAGCCAACCAGAGGCCUCCAGAUUAACUUGCAUUACAUCAGCAUACCAACAAUGAACCUAAUGAGGAAGAGGUCGGGGGUUGGGGGGGGGGGGGUGUUACGUGUGCCUAUGUGAGUGGGUGUGUUGGCUCUCAUACUAUUGCAUCACGAAUUAAAUACUCAUUUGUGUUGAUUCAGUCAAGAUUGGAUGGAUGUGCUUGGUCAUCCUUAAAAACUGGACAUAGUGAUAAUUUUAUAUUUCCAAUGUGCCCUAUGUAAUCGUCUGUCAUCAUAGUAACUAGUCAGAAAAUAACAAAACAAAAAAAAGCAUGCUUGUGAAUUGUUUCAUUCAUCCAAGACAACGUAUUCUCAGAGCAUUGAAUCCAUGGCAGCUGGACUUUUCUGGUUUUAUUAGAAAACGUUUUGCCUCUAAUCUUGGAAGACAGUUUGCCUAAAAUCUGACCAGGAUUCAUCAGUUCAUGCACAAGAGAAGAAUGAGGCACACUUGUAACAACUGAGUAAUAGCUGGAUACGAAAAGUUGUAUGUGUUUUAGUUGAAGGACUUGUUUAGGAUGUUUGUUAAAAAUCAUACUUUUGGCCCAAGUGGCGCCUGGUGAAGUUUUGAUAUGUACUGUAUACAAGUAUAUCACCUGGACCUAACUGUGGCUUUCAACACUGUGGACCACAAUAUUUUAUAGGCUUCGUUGGAGCACUUUAUGGGCAUAAGGGGUCACUGUAAUUUUCGUUUGGAUCCUAUCGGACACACACAACUAUGUGUAUAAGCCUUUUUUUUUAUAUUGUGUGUGUGCUCUUCAGCUGUUAGAUCAAGUAGAAUGGAGAUUCUGUAUCUCCUUUAUCCCGGAAAAGUUUUUCUAUGUCACAGAGGAGUUUAUUUGGACUUCCUCUGUGAUUUAUUUGUAUUUUAAUCCAAGUUUUAUUGAGGAUCAGAGUAACAUCAGUGCUUUGAUGCUAUCAGUUGAACAUAAUGGAAUUUAUUGGAAAAAAAAGACAAUGAUAAAAUGAGGACUGUUCAACAGAAUGAGAAAAUUAAAUCAUUCUGUAUCUGAAAAAAAAAUGAUAAAUGGAUGUUACUUGAGAUUGUGUAGGAAGAAGAGGACAAGAAAGGACAGGACAAAGACAGGAGAAGAAGAAUGCAAGACGGAUCGUGAACCCGGCUAUACAAUUGGAAUGAGUUGGGACUGACAAAUUAUAGAAGUCUAAAGAACAAAACCCAAGUGGGGUAAUGGAUAUGCUUUUCAUGUAAACAUGAAUUGUACAUUGCAAUAAGUGAGUAGUCCGACACCCAGUGAGAGAACCCGAGGAGUGUGUGCCUACAGACACAUGCAUGGUCAAGAUAUCUUGAGCAAUACUUUUUAUACACUCAGUUUUACAUGUGUAUUUUUAUUUAUUUGUAUUUUUUAAGCAUGGUGGUGCAGCUGUAAAGCAUUGGUCUCACAGUUCUAAGGACCAGUGCUCAAAUCCCGGCCCUGCCUGUGUGGAGUUUACAUAUUCUCCCCAUGCCUGCGUGGGUUUUCUCCGGCCACUCCGAUUUCCUCCCAGAUCCCAAAAACAUGCAACAUUAAUUGGAAACUCUAAAUUGCACCUAGGUGUGAUUGUGAGUAUAACUGUUGCCUGUCUCCAUGUGGCCUAUGAUUGGCUGGCAACCAGUUCAGGGUGUACCCUGCUUCCUGGCCCUUGACAACUGGGAUAGACUUCAGCACUCCCGUGACCCUUGUGAGGAUAAGCGGGGACUGGGACAUCUUGGGCCUACCUCUAUUCCUUGCGCCUCUCCUCAGUCAUCUCAGUGUCCCACUUCUUCUUUGCUAACCUCUUUCCUUGUUUGACUUCCUGUAUUUUGGGGUUCCACCACCAAGUCUCCUACUCUGCGUUCGUACCAGAAGACACACCAAGUACUCUCCUGCCUGUCUCUUUGAUCAUCUUGGCUGUUGCUGUCCAUUCUUCCAGGAGCUCCUCCUGUCCAUCGAGAGCCUGUCUCACCUCUCUCCGAAAGGCUGCACAACAUUCUUCCUUUCACAGCUUCUACCUUAGUUUUCUUAAUCUUCCUUCACACCAACAGAGUCAUCUUUCACACAGCCAUCCUUUGCUGUCGAGCUACACUCUUCCUUACAGCACCAACUUCCAUCAGAUUAUAUCAUCUGAACAAAAUGUAAUCUACCUGCAUGCUUCUACCUCCGCUCUUGUAGGUCACCCUAUAUUCCUGCGCCUUCUGGAAAACAGUGUUCACUACUGCCAUUUCGACCCUUUUUGCAAAGUCCACCACCAUCUGUCCCUCAAAGUUCCUUUCCUGAAUGGCGUACUAACCCAUCGCUUCUUCAUCGCCCCAGUUUCCUUCACCAACAUGUCAUUACAAUCUCCAGCAAUCAAAACUCUCUCUCUGUCUAGGAUCCUCAGAACUACUUCAUCUAGUUCCUUCCAGAAUUUCUCUAUAUACAAUGUUUAUGAUGCACUGCUUCGCCCUCCUGAGAUGCCAGAUGAUGGGCCAGAAUUUCCUCGAACCCAUCCCGAAGUCAUUCUCCACAGCCUCACCAAACUCCUUCCUGUCUGAGUUACUGAAUCAAUGACCACGAGUGCUUCAUGCUGCCAUCCAGGAACCACCAGCUACCUUAGGAGUCCCAGAGGCCAAAAAGGCCCUAUAUGACUCCUUUAGCUUGGCUACAUCCCACACCUUUGAUGUCACCAAUGGGUCAUGAGAUUGUCCCCACAAGAGGCCUUACGGUCACAGCUCCGGUCAGUUCCUUUAGCAACCAAGAAAAUGGUCCAUACAGAUUAAAUGUCCCCCACUUUCCCCAGAACAUGAGCAAAGUUUUGUCGGAGGUAUGAGUUGAAACCUCUUCUGAAAGGGGAUUCUGCCAGAUGUUCAUAACAGACACACCACAAUAUGUUUGAGCCUGCGAGGUCAAACCGGCAUCUUUUCCCACAUCGUCCAACAAAAGAACACUGCUCGGGUUCUCAUUUGAAGGAGCCGUUUUUCCUAAUCACACCCUUUCAGGUCUAACUGUCAUUGCCCACAUGAGAAGUGAAGUCCCUGAGCAGAACGAUGGAGUCUCCAGUGGGAGCGCUCUCCAGCUCAACUAGGAUUCUAAAAAGCCUGUGUAAUCUGAACUGCUCUCGUUCACCAGAGUGAAUGAACAGGCGCCUAGGUAUGGGGCAAUAUGUAUAACGACACCUGUUUGGCGCCUCUCAAGAGAGUCCACCCCCUCUUGAGUGGUCUUGGAGCAGAGCCCAAGCAGUGGGUAGAAGCAAGCCUGACUAUAUCUCGUUGGAAGGGGGUGGCACGUUUCCCUUUCGGGGUGUGUCUGGCCGAGUCCCAUCAGACCCUCACCUUGAAGCCUUACCUCUAUGUCUGGUUACAGAGGGGGCCCUGGUGACCCACAUCUGAGCAAGGGAAUUUGCAAUCAAUUUAUAUUUGUUAUCAUAGGGGUCUUCUUGCAGUACUUUGUAUGGUCCCUCAUCCAGGACCAGCUUACCUGGGCGACCCCACCGAGGGUAUGAAGCCCCAGACAACUGAGUUCCUCAGAUCACUGGGAUACACAAAGCCCUCCACAACAAUAAGGUGAAUUCUUCCUGGAGAUGCAGGUUUUAUUGUUUGUUUAUUGUAACUGGUAACUAACCACUUCCGGGUGGUGUCCACCUUUUGCCUGAAGUUAACUGGGGUAGGCUUCAACACUUUUGUGACUCUUGUGAGGAUAAACGGCUUGGAAAAUGAAAAUGGGAAUGGUA